rnacentral:rRNA from 1 species
UACGUAGGGUGCAAGCGUUGUCCGGAAUCAUUGGGCGUAAAGCGCGUGUAGGCGGCCCGGUAAGUCCGCUGUGAAAGUCGGGGGCUCAACCCUCGAAUGCCGGUGGAUACUGUCGGGCUAGAGUGCGGAAGAGGCGAGUGGAAUCCUGGUGUAGCGGUGAAAUUCGUAGAUAUCGGGAGGAACACCAGAGGCGAAGGCGGCCACCUGGACGAACACUGACGCUGAGACGCGAAAGCGUGGGGAGCAAACAGG